CAUGGAGUUUGAUCCUGGCUCAGAUUGAACGCUGGCGGCAGGCCUAACACAUGCAAGUCGAGCGGAUGAGAAGAGCUUGCUCUUCGAUUCAGCGGCGGACGGGUGAGUAAUGCCUAGGAAUCUGCCUGGUAGUGGGGGACAACGUUUCGAAAGGAACGCUAAUACCGCAUACGUCCUACGGGAGAAAGCAGGGGACCUUCGGGCCUUGCGCUAUCAGAUGAGCCUAGGUCGGAUUAGCUAGUUGGUGAGGUAAUGGCUCACCAAGGCUACGAUCCGUAACUGGUCUGAGAGGAUGAUCAGUCACACUGGAACUGAGACACGGUCCAGACUCCUACGGGA
rnacentral:rRNA from 1 species